rnacentral:rRNA from 1 species
UGGGGAAUAUUGCACAAUGGGCGCAAGCCUGAUGCAGCCAUGCCGCGUGUAUGAAGAAGGCCUUCGGGUUGUAAAGUACUUUCAGCGGGGAGGAAGGGAGUAAAGUUAAUACCUUUGCUCAUUGACGUUACCCGCAGAAGAAGCACCGGCUAACUCCGUGCCAGCAGCCGCGGUAAUACGGAGGGUGCAAGCGUUAAUCGGAAUUACUGGGCGUAAAGCGCACGCAGGCGGUCUGUCAAGUCGGAUGUGAAAUCCCCGGGCUCAACCUGGGAACUGCAUUCGAAACUGGCAGGCUAGAGUCUUGUAGAGGGGGGGAGAAUUCCAGGUGUAGCGGUGAAAUGCGUAGAGAUCUGGAGGAAUACCGGUGGCGAAGGCGGCCCCCUGGACAAAGACUGACGCUCAGGUGCGAAAGCGUGGGGAGCAAACAGG